rnacentral:misc_RNA from 1 species
UUGAAUUUUAAUGAAGAGUUUGGUUGUAGCUGGCCCAUUCAUUUGGGCAUGUGCACACCUUCCUCUUUCAUCCCACACACACCUGUGAACCUGUGAGACAGAGAUGGGGAAUUUACUUGCUGCUUUUUGGAAUACAAAGGCAAUAGGUUAUUGGACCCCCCCUCUGUCUACUCAAUUAGUAUAAACUCAGUUUAUUUUAAAACGAAUGUAAUGGAUGUAACACAUCUCAUAC